AAUCUUAAAAAAAUAUUAGAGUGAUUAAAAACAUAUCUCAAAUACAUCUCAAUUCAAUCUUAAUUUAAUCCUAGUUGAAAUCUUACUUCAUUCAAACUUUAGGCCAAAAACUAACUAAAUCUUAAAUCCUAAACAAACUCAAAUAAAAUCCUAAAUCCUAAAUCAAAUCCUGAUCAAAUACUAAUCGAAUCCUAAAUCCUAAACCAAAUCCUAAUCCUAAAUCAAAUCGUGACCAAACCUUAAACCGUGAACUAAAUCUUAAUCCUAAAUCAAAUCUUAACCAAAGUCUAAAUCCUAAUCCUAAAUCAAAUCUUAACCAAAUUCUAAUCCUAAUCCUAAAUCCUAAGCCAAACUCUAAAAAAAUCCUAAUCAAAUCUUAAUCCUAAAUCAAAUCCUAAUCAAAUCUUAAUCCUAAAUCAAAUCCUAAUCA
rnacentral:lncRNA from 1 species